rnacentral:ncRNA from 1 species
AACAGUCCCGUAGGCGAAAAUAAAGCGUAAGCCAGGUGGAUCCUGAGUACGGCGGAACACGAGGAAUUCCGUCGGAAUCCGGGAGGACCAUCUCCCAAGGCUAAAUACUUCUUAGUGACCGAUAGUGAACCAGUACCGUGAGGGAAAGGUGAAAAGCACCCCGGAAGGGGAGUGAAACAGAACCUGAAACCGUGUGCUUACAAGUAGUCAGAGCCCGUUAAUGGGUGAUGGCGUGCCUUUUGUAGAAUGAACCGGCGACUUACGAUGAUAUGCAAGGUUAAGCAGAGGAUGCGGAGCCGCAGCGAAAGCGAGUCUGAAGAGGGCGUCAUAGUAUAUCGUUGUAGACCCGAAACCAGGUGAUCUACCCAUGUCCAGGCUGAAGUCCAGGUAACACUGGAUGGAGGGCCGAACCGACUUACGUUGAAAAGUGACCGGAUGAGGUGUGGGUAGCGGUGAAAUUCCAAUCGAACCUGGAGAUAGCUGGUUCUCUCCGAAAUAUAUUUAGGUAUAGCCUCAUGAGAGCAUCGUGGAGGUAGAGCACUGUUUGGACGAGGGGCCCAUCCCGGGUUACCGAAUUCAGACAAACUCCGAAUGCCACAGAUGUGAUUCAUGGGAGUCAGACAGUGGGUGAUAAGGUCCAUUGUCGAGAGGGCAACAGCCCAGACCACCAGUUAAGGUCCCCAAAUAUAUGUUAAGUGGAAAAGGAUGUGGCGUUGCACAGACAACUAGGAUGUUGGCUUAGAAGCAGCCAUCAUUUAAAGAGUGCGUAAUAGCUCACUAGUCAAGUGACGCUGCGCCGAAAAUUUACCGGGGCUAAACAUAUUACCGAAACUGUGGAUCAGAAAUGAUGGUAGGAGAGCGUUCCAAGUGCAGUGAAGCAUGAUCGUGAGGACAUGUGGAGCGCUUGGAAGUGAGAAUGCCGGUGUGAGUAGCGAAAGACGGGUGGGAAUCCCGUCCACCGAAUGACUAAGGUUUCCAGAGGAAGGCUCGUCCGCUCUGGGUUAGUCGGGACCUAAGCCGAGGCGAAGACGCGUAGGCGAUGGAAGACAGGCAGAAAUUCCUGUACCGGUGAAUAUUGAUUGAGCGAUGUGGUGACGCAGGAGGAUGGUCAGGCAUGCGACUGGAAGUGCAUGUCCAAGCAACGAGUUGUCCGGGUAGGCAAAUCCGCCCGGAGUAGAUGAGUUGUGAUGGGGAGCCCCAUUAGGGGGCGAAGCUGUUGAUUCACACUGCCAAGAAAAGCCGCUAGUGAGAUAUUGACCGCCCGUACCGCAAACCGACACAGGUAGUUGGGAAGAGAAUUCUAAGGUGAGCGAGCGAACUCUCGUUAAGGAACUCGGCAAAAUGACCCCGUAACUUCGGGAGAAGGGGUGCUCAGUAAAAUGAGCCGCAGUGAAUAGGCCCAAGCGACUGUUUAUCAAAAACACAGGUCUCUGCCAAACCGAAAGGUGACGUAUAGGGGCUGACGCCUGCCCGGUGCUGGAAGGUUAAAAGGCGCGCUUAGCGUAAGCGAAGGUGCAAAUUGAAGCCCCAGUAAACGGCGGCCGUAACUAUAACGGUCCUAAGGUAGCGAAAUUCCUUGUCAGGUAAGUUCUGACCCGCACGAAAGGCGCAACGAUUUGGGCACUGUCUCAACGAGAGGCUCGGUGAAAUCAUAUUACCUGUGAAGAUGCAGGUUACCCGCGACAGGACGGAAAGACCCCGUGGAGCUUUACUGUAGCCUGAUAUUGAAUCUGGACCUCACCUGUACAGGAUAGGUGGGAGUCU